rnacentral:lncRNA from 1 species
CAAGGAAGAGCAUAGUGCCAGACCUAGAGAGUCUCGCUGUGUCACCCAGGCUGGAGUGCAGUGGCAGGAUCUUGGCUCACUUCAACCUCCACCUCCCGAGUUCUGCCUCAGCCUCCCAAGUAGCUGGGAUUACAGGUCCAGUCACUCCACGCUUGCAGAGUCCAAUUAACAAGAGCAAGUUCUGGUAGAAAGAAGGUGACUUUAUUCCAGAGCUCAGGUGUUUGAACUGAUGUCUGAUGAGGAUGAAUCCAGCGACUACCUCUGCCUGUCCAUCCUGGGCCUCUUCUGUUGCCUUCCCCUAGCCAUCCCAGCCGUGAUCUUUUCUUGCCUGACAAAGAACUACAAUAAAUCCAGUGACUAUGAGCUGGCAGCCAAGACCUCCAAACAAGCCUACUACUGGGCCAUCGCGAGCAUCACUGUGGGAAUCUUAGGUACCAUCUUGUACACCUACCUGAUAUACUUACUUAGAUUGUAAACUGCUUCCCAGCUCUUGAACAAACCACCAAAUAUACACCACAGUGCAAUUUACCUUGGCUCUAAGCAUCUACUUGGGCUGAAUGGAACACCUGCUCCUCAAUGUCUGGAGUGCCAAGCUAUCUAAGAUUAGAAAAACAAAAUGCAAAGUGUUCUUCCUAUUCUUACAUGCCCCUCAAAGUAACACUUCUUUUUUUUUUUUUUUUUUUGACAGAGUCUUCCUCUGUCCAGGCUGGAGUGCAGUGCCACGAUGUCGGCUCACUGCAACCUCUGCCCCCAAGGUUUAAGUGAUUCUUCUGCCUCAGCCUCCUGAGUAGCUGGGAUUACAGGUGCGUACCACCAUGCCCAGCUAAUUUUGUAUUUUUAGUAGAGACGGGGUUUCACCGUGUUGGCCAGGCUGGUCUCAAACUCCUGACCUCAGGUGAUCCACUCACCUUAGCUUCCCAAAGUGCUGGGAUUACAGGUGUGAGCCACCAUACCAGGCCUCAGCAUAACACUUCUAACACCAAAUGUUAGAGCCAGGGGCAGGGGUAUUUUCCCCACCUACCAACCAACCAGAUUCUCCAGCAGACACCAACUGGGUGUCCUGUAAUUUAAUUCAAUUCUGACACUAUCUACCUGGAGAUGGCAUCAGAUCCCACAGGUUGAAGGCUCAGUUCCACAAGACUGCCCCCAAAUUUGGAUGUCAGCCACAAGUGGUAAGUUGUCACCUAGACUUGUGACUGACAAGCUAUAAAUCAGGUGUUCCCAUGACCCCCCUCCUCAAGCCUGAUUAAUUUGUUCCAGCUGGCCAGGUGCAGUAGCUCAGGCCUGUAAUCCCAGCACUUUGGGCGGCUGAGGCAGGAAGAUCGCUUGAAGCCAGGAGUUUGAGACCAGCCUGGCCAACAUGGCAAAACCCCGUCUCUACUAAAAAUACAAAAAUUAGACAGGUGUGAUGGCAUACGCCUAUAAUCCCAGCUACUCAGGAGGCUGAGGCAGGAGAAUCGCUUGAACCCAGGAGGUGGAGGUUGCAGAGAGCUGAGAUCAUGCCACUGCACUCCAGCCUGGGCAACACAGCGAGACUCCGUCAAAAAAAAAAAAAACAAAACACUAUUAUCACUCCAGCGAUUCCAAGGGUUUUAGGAGCUCUGGGCCACAAAAUGGGACCUAGACCAAAUAUAUAUGUCACAGUAUCACACAAG